rnacentral:rRNA from 1 species
AGUGAACGCUGGCGGUAGGCCUAACACAUGCAAGUCGAACGGCAGCACAGUAAGAGCUUGCUCUUACGGGUGGCGAGUGGCGGACGGGUGAGGAAUACAUCGGAAUCUACUUUUUCGGGGGGGAUAACGUAGGGAAACUUACGCUAAUACCGCAUACGACCUACGGGUGAAAGCAGGGGAUCUUCGGACCUUGCGCGAUUGAAUGAGCCGAUGUCGGAUUAGCUAGUUGGCGGGGUAAAGGCCCACCAAGGCGACGAUCCGUAGCUGGUCUGAGAGGAUGAUCAGCCACACUGGAACUGAGACACGGUCCAGACUCCUACGGGAGGCAGCAGUGGGGAAUAUUGGACAAUGGGCGCAAGCCUGAUCCAGCCAUGCCGCGUGGGUGAAGAAGGCCUUCGGGUUGUAAAGCCCUUUUGUUGGGAAAGAAAAGCAGCAGGUUAAUACCCCGCUGUUCUGACGGUACCCAAAGAAUAAGCACCGGCUAACUUCGUG